rnacentral:tRNA from 1 species
AAAAUCCGUUGGCUCUAACAGAUUUCGAGGGUUCAAGUCCCUCUACCCCCA